rnacentral:lncRNA from 1 species
UUUUUUUAAGACUGUCCAAACACCCCCCCCAACCAAACAACCUAAGGCCAGACUCAUCUCUUCAGUCUCUCUCAUCUCCUUAUCUGAUCCCUAGCGCUGCCCUCAAAAUCUUCGACCAUUUCCGCCGGCAACAUACCUCCAAACCUUCCCAAAUUUCGUCCACACAAUCAUCACCCACAGCUGUCUCCUAAUCUACCAUCAUAUCUCUCAAAAACCUCACCAAAUUUAACAAAUAUUAGGUAUAAAGGAAAAGUAGAAGAAAAAGAAAAUCUUCCAAAAACUUUGAUUUUUCCUUGAACGAUUAGGGUUAAAAUUGGUAUUACUCGUCUGUUCUCAACGAGGAAAGAUGAUUAACGCCAAUUUUUUCUCAAAAUCAAAGGCGUUGGAGGUCCAGUCAAGUCCACUGUCAACCCGCCUUUAGGUAUUUUUCCGGCCAUUUUUCUUUCUUUUGUCUUUCACUUUAUUCUCAUCCUCAUCUUAUUCUGAUUCUUUCUUGUUUUUUCUGUCUUAAAAAUCUUUUCUAUGUGCAUGCUAAUUUUAAGUUAUUUUUAGUCAGAUUUUUGUUUAGUUAGCUUGUUUAAUUUUGUUUUUUGAUUUUGCUCCAAUUUCCUCCAAUUUUAUUUUUUUUGGAUUCAUGGCUUCAGGAGUUCCCUAUAAUUUUGUUGGCCUAGUUUCUUGAUUGGUUUUGGAAUUAAAUGUUGGGCUUCGUAGGAUAAAAGCCCAAAGAGGGGAGGGUCAGUCCGGGGUUUGCAAGCCCAGAGGUUGUGGUUGAUUGUUGGGUCAACUUGAAACAUGUUUAGUCUGAUGGUUAAGAAUGGAGGGUCAAAGGGUAUUUGAGAGAAUUUAAUUGAGAGAAUCUUUAAAAACCUGAAUAGGAAACUUCCAGGAAAGAGGGGUUUGGGUUAGUUCAGUAGUUUUUUUAGAAAUUCAGGGCUUAAAAUGAAAGAAUAAAAUCAGCGAAAGGGGUAAUUGGUGAAACUGAAAACCAAUACUAGUGCCAUAAAGGCUCUCUAUACGAGCCCUGCUUCCUUUCUUGUCAAAGAGAAUUUAGAGACUUUUGAGAUUACAAGAUUGAAAAAACUUAAAACGGCUAAGCCUUUUUUUAGACUCAGAAUACUGAAAAUUGUUUGAAAUAUGUUUGGUUUUGUUCUUUGAGUUCCAUGAUAGUCAGAAUUUUUAAAAAGCUUCAAAGAGCUAGGCUUAUUUGGGUUUGAUUUGCUUUGAAAGAAGCUGGUUUUGUUGAGCUGAUUCUACUGAUGUUGCUAAUUCUUCAUUCUCCUUGUUCUUCUCUUAACUUCCAGGUAUCUUUUGGACCAUGGAUAACAUAUGAUAUGUAAAUAUGCAAAUUGAACGUAGAUAUAUGAUGAACAUUAGUGUUUUUUGUUGAAUUUUACUUCUUAUUCGUCAAUCUCAUUCAUAGCUUGUAAUAUUUUAAUUUUAGGUGUAUUUUGUUGUUGUGUUUCAUGUUAUGGAUGUGAUGCCCAAUUGUUAAUAUGAAAUUUAAGUUCUCUGGGUCUCUUGUUAGUUGGUAGUUUGGUUUAAACUUGCUAUGAGUGCGGAAAAUGCUCCAGGUUAUUUGCAAUAAGGAUUAAGCCCUAUGUUUAAUUACUCUUGAUCUAUGUUUGAGUAUGUUUAAAGUUGACUUGAUGUUUAGAUUCAGGUUUGUCCUAUGACAAUCUCAUGGGGUUUUUGUUGCUAUUGUGUUUGUCAAAAAGGGUCUAAUUGAGGUUUAAACUUCAUAUAAUUGUCUAUAGGGUGGCUUGGAAAUGAAUUAAAUGUGAAUACUGUACAGCUUCGUUUCUUAUAUCACUAGUGCAAUUCGAUUCAGAAUAAUGUUGCUUUUAGGCAUGUAGUAUGAUUUGAUAAUAUUUAAAGUUUGUUUUUCCUCUUGUAUCGUGGUGCUGUGUACUGUUGAAAGAGAAUCAGGCUCGUGUUGGUAUCCUUGAAUUUUAAAUUCCUUCUAUGUGCUGUAUGGACUCGAUCUCUAGUCCUGCAUUACCCAACCCUUAUUUUUCGAGAGAUUUGGGUUUUUCUUUGGGCUUGGGUCUUGAGGCCGCUUGUAAAUAGAAAUUAUAGGCCUUAUCGUGUUUGGGCCUGCCUUUUGAACCAAGUUCCUUAUUUAAAUUCUACCGUUGGCCUUGUCUAUAAUAGGCUUCAUCCAAAUAGCUGAAAACC